rnacentral:rRNA from 1 species
UGUGAGCUCGAUGAGUAGGGCGGGACACGUGGUAUCCUGUCUGAAUAUGGGGGGACCAUCCUCCAAGGCUAAAUACUCCUGACUGACCGAUAGUGAACCAGUACCGUGAGGGAAAGGCGAAAAGAACCCCGGCGAGGGGAGUGAAAAAGAACCUGAAACCGUGUACGUACAAGCAGUGGGAGCACAGAGCAAUCUGUGUGACUGCGUACCUUUUGUAUAAUGGGUCAGCGACUUAUAUUCUGUAGCAAGGUUAACCGAAUAGGGGAGCCGAAGGGAAACCGAGUCUUAACUGGGCGUUAAGUUGCAGGGUAUAGACCCGAAACCCGGUGAUCUAGCCAUGGGCAGGUUGAAGGUUGGGUAACACUAACUGGAGGACCGAACCGACUAAUGUUGAAAAAUUAGCGGAUGACUUGUGGCUGGGGGUGAAAGGCCAAUCAAACCGGGAGAUAGCUGGUUCUCCCCGAAAGCUAUUUAGGUAGCGCCUCGUGAAUUCAUCUCCGGGGGUAGAGCACUGUUUCGGCAAGGGGGUCAUCCCGACUUACCAACCCGAUGCAAACUGCGAAUACCGGAGAAUGUUAUCACGGGAGACACACGGCGGGUGCUAACGUCCGUCGUGAAGAGGGAAACAACCCAGACCGCCAGCUAAGGUCCCAAAGUCAUGGUUAAGUGGGAAACGAUGUGGGAAGGCCCAGACAGCCAGGAUGUUGGCUUAGAAGCAGCCAUCAUUUAAAGAAAGCGUAAUAGCUCACUGGUCGAGUCGGCCUGCGCGGAAGAUGUAACGGGGCUAAACCAUGCACCGAAGCUGCGGCAGCGACACUAUGUGUUGUUGGGUAGGGGAGCGUUCUGUAAGCCUGUGAAGGUGUGCUGUGAGGCAUGCUGGAGGUAUCAGAAGUGCGAAUGCUGACAUAAGUAACGAUAAAGCGGGUGAAAAGCCCGCUCGCCGGAAGACCAAGGGUUCCUGUCCAACGUUAAUCGGGGCAGGGUGAGUCGACCCCUAAGGCGAGGCCGAAAGGCGUAGUCGAUGGGAAACAGGUUAAUAUUCCUGUACUUGGUGUUACUGCGAAGGGGGGACGGAGAAGGCUAUGUUGGCCGGGCGACGGUUGUCCCGGUUUAAGCGUGUAGGCUGGUUUUCCAGGCAAAUCCGGAAAAUCAAGGCUGAGGCGUGAUGACGAGGCACUACGGUGCUGAAGCAACAAAUGCCCUGCUUCCAGGAAAAGCCUCUAAGCAUCAGGUAACAUCAAAUCGUACCCCAAACCGACACAGGUGGUCAGGUAGAGAAUACCAAGGCGCUUGAGAGAACUCGGGUGAAGGAACUAGGCAAAAUGGUGCCGUAACUUCGGGAGAAGGCACGCUGAUAUGUAGGUGAAGCGACUUGCUCGUGGAGCUGAAAUCAGUCGAAGAUACCAGCUGGCUGCAACUGUUUAUUAAAAACACAGCACUGUGCAAACACGAAAGUGGACGUAUACGGUGUGACGCCUGCCCGGUGCCGGAAGGUUAAUUGAUGGGGUCAGCGCAAGCGAAGCUCUUGAUCGAAGCCCCGGUAAACGGCGGCCGUAACUAUAACGGUCCUAAGGUAGCGAAAUUCCUUGUCGGGUAAGUUCCGACCUGCACGAAUGGCGUAAUGAUGGCCAGGCUGUCUCCACCCGAGACUCAGUGAAAUUGAACUCGCUGUGAAGAUGCAGUGUACCCGCGGCAAGACGGAAAGACCCCGUGAACCUUUACUAUAGCUUGACACUGAACAUUGAGCCUUGAUGUGUAGGAUAGGUGGGAGGCUUUGAAGUGUGGACGCCAGUCUGCAUGGAGCCGACCUUGAAAUACCACCCUUUAAUGUUUGAUGUUCUAACGUUGACCCGUAAUCCGGGUUGCGGACAGUGUCUGGUGGGUAGUUUGACUGGGGCGGUCUCCUCCUAAAGAGUAACGGAGGAGCACGAAGGUUGGCUAAUCCUGGUCGGACAUCAGGAGGUUAGUGCAAUGGCAUAAGCCAGCUUGACUGCGAGCGUGACGGCGCGAGCAGGUGCGAAAGCAGGUCAUAGUGAUCCGGUGGUUCUGAAUGGAAGGGCCAUCGCUCAACGGAUAAAAGGUACUCCGGGGAUAACAGGCUGAUACCGCCCAAGAGUUCAUAUCGACGGCGGUGUUUGGCACCUCGAUGUCGGCUCAUCACAUCCUGGGGCUGAAGUAGGUCCCAAGGGUAUGGCUGUUCGCCAUUUAAAGUGGUACGCGAGCUGGGUUUAGAACGUCGUGAGACAGUUCGGUCCCUAUCUGCCGUGGGCGCUGGAGAACUGAGGGGGGCUGCUCCUAGUACGAGAGGACCGGAGUGGACGCAUCACUGGUGUUCGGGUUGUCAUGCCAAUGGCACUGCCCGGUAGCUAAAUGCGGAAGAGAUAAGUGCUGAAAGCAUCUAAGCACGAAACUUGCCCCGAGAUGAGUUCUCCCUGACUCCUUGAGAGUCCUGAAGGAACGUUGAAGACGACGACGUUGAUAGGCCGGGUGUGUAAGCGCAGCGAUGCGUUGAGCUAACCGGUACUAAUGAACCGUGAG